AUUUUGUAAGGUCCUGUUUUUCCCAUCUGUGCAGGAUGGCAAAGGUCACAAGACAUGCCUGAGUUACAAGACCUGUCACAGUUUAACUGCGUUUGUUCUGCUUCUGUAAGCUUGCUUUCCCCACCCCACAAGUUUUGCACCACAGGCCAACACCCUUUGGUCACAUGAAUAAAAGUCAAGCCCUUUCUUUGCUCAUUGCUCAGCCUCUGGGUAUUAAUCUGCUGAGCUGGUGGCCACCUAAAUACAAUCGUCCUGUUCCCCUCAUUGGUCUCUCCGGUCUCCUGAUUCCAGCCACAUUUUGGUGAGCCAGCCAGGAGUGAAGACGACAGGUUUGCUGUCUCCUUUGCCUGUGGGUCUGGGGCCCCAGCCUGGGGGAGACCCGUGACUCCAGGCAUGCUAUCAGGACAACUUCAACCCGAGGGGAGAUCAGCUCUCCCGCAACCUGGUGCCGCUCUCUGACAGCACAACAGAACCUAAGGGGCUACAGGAUGAUUCAAGGAACAGUGUGCUACAGGACCUCGGUAUUCCUGCUGAGAGUCAUUUCCUGUGCUGGAUUUACCAUCACAGGGACCAGAUUUAUAGAAAAAUGAACAUGUAUUGUUGCUAAAUGGAGUUGGUCAUGGAGUGGAAACUAACAAUAUGUUCACCUCAAGAAGACCCUCACCAGAUGCAGCCCCUCUAUGUUGGACUUCCCAGCCUCCGGAAGU
rnacentral:lncRNA from 10 species